rnacentral:rRNA from 1 species
UACGUAGGGGGCAAGCGUUGUCCGGAAUCAUUGGGCGUAAAGCGCGCGUAGGCGGCCUCAUAAGUCCGUUGUGAAAGUCAAAGGCUCAACCUUUGAAAGCCGAUGGAUACUGUGAGGCUAGAGUCCGGAAGAGGCGAGUGGAAUUCCUGGUGUAGCGGUGGAAUGCGCAGAUAUCAGGAGGAACACCGGUGGCGAAGGCGGCAUCCUGGACCAAUUCUGACGCUGAGGAGCGAAAGCCAGGGGAGCAAACGGG